CAAUAGCGUAUAUAUAAGUUGCUGCAGUUAAAAAGCUCGUAGUUGGAUUUCGGGUGGGAAUGGCCGGUCCGCCGUUUCGGUGUGCACUUGCUACGCCCACCUUGCUGCCGGGGACGUGCUCUUGAGUUCACGCUCGGGACACGGAGUCGGCGAGGUUACUUUGAGUAAAUUAGAGUGUUCAAAGCAGGCCUACGCUCUGAAUACAUUAGCAUGGAAUAACACGAUAGGACUCUGGCCUAUCUUGUUGGUCUGUAGGACCGGAGUAAUGAUUAAGAGGGACAGUCGGGGGCAUUCGUAUUUCAUUGUCAGAGGUGAAAUUCUUGGAUUUAUGAAAGACGAACUACUGCGAAAGCAUUUGCCAAGGAUGUUUUCAUUAA
rnacentral:rRNA from 1 species